ensembl:lncRNA
AAGUAAACUAACCAUGAAACCAUAACAUACUCUGGAGCAUGCUCAGGGAAUCAGUUGCGGUUCUCCUGUAUUUUUCCCUAUGGACUCCAUUACCCACAAUCAUUCACUCUCCCUCACCUGUCCCUUGCUAUACAUCACCAUCCACUCUGCCACAUUCCCAGUCACAAGCUUUUCUAAUCACCUGCAGCUGUUGCUGCCAGUCAGCAGUCCUAUAAAGCCACUGGCUGGCCUCAAAGUUGCUAUUACAUUUAUUACAAAUCUUAACCAAACACUAUAAAUUAUAGGGAAACACAAUACUGGUCUAUGUAAUGAUUGUUUAACAGAGGAAUCAGUGGAACACGUUAUGAUGAUAUGUACAGCAUAAGAAAGAGAAAAGGAUUGAUUUAAAGAUGAAUUACAAUCCUUAGGAAUUAAAGAAUUUUCAUUAAGUAGUAUUUGGAAUGAUGGUCCAAAUGCAGGAAAACAAAUAAGUGCAAUCAUAAGAUUUCUUAGGAAUUGUGGAAUAAUGAACAGAGUAUAAAAUUUAGGUGAGAAAUGGUACAUUCUCUUCACACUCCAUCACAGUAGGUGGUGGUAUGCACCUAUGAAGUUGGUUUGCAACCCGCCAUAAAACCAAAAAAAAGAAGAAGAAAGUUGCGAUUGGGCUUGGGGCGGUGAGCUGAGUGUAUUCUCUCGAUUCUACUCUGGAGCAACUCAUCCCUUGAGGAAAGACGUGUGGAGGAGGGUUUUGGCGGGUUAGCAUCAACUGUGCUGAGACUGGAGAGGAUGGAUGCAGAUGGCAUGGAUGAAGAAGAUGGUUCUAUAGUAACUGGAAGUGAGGGAUGGUCUCAGAUUUCAAACAAAUGGAAAAAUAGAGAGUCCGAGUCCGAUGACAACAUUAUAGAGUGGGACCUGAUAUGUGAGAAUGAGUACAAAGGGCCUCUGACCUCAUCAAUAUAUUUCUUUGGUGUGUUAGUGGGGACCUUCCUUUCAGGACAGAUGUCUGACAGGUCAGUGCCUCACAAGCAAAUCAUCACACAAAUUAUGACAAGCUCUUACCCAGGGCUUGAAAAAACAAAACAAAAAAACAGUUCGGGUGGAAGAAAUACCGGUUAAUAACAUUAUUUUUUUUAAACAAUUUGUCUUUGCCUAUAAUUUGCCUUAUAAUUAUAAUAAUAAAGUACAGCGUUUUCUUUACUCAAAAAGAAAAGGGAAAAAAGAGAAAUCUGGUAACAUUAGCCAAUAACCCGCUGAGCUUAGUCACAGCCAAUACAGCAUCAUCUUUUCUAGAUUUUGGCCAAAUGUAGGCUACGAAAAAAAAAUAAAAAAUUCUAUCAACACCUUAAAGACAUCAAAGUAUUUUUAAGAUAAAUGUUUGCUGCAUUGUUAAAAAAAACACUAUUAUAAGAUUGCGUUUUGAGAGUUUUUUCACGUCGCAUUUUAUUAGCCCUAUUACUUUCCGAAAUAAUGAAGGCUAAAAUGCCUGUAGGCUAAAGCAAAAUGUUUACAAAUAUUAUAAAAACAGGUAUUAGUUUCUCUCCGAAACAAAUCCUCUGACGUUUAGGCUAUAAAAACGUCAAUCCAAAAACAAAUUAAUUUAAGGUGAAGCUGAUGCCUACCUCUCUCAUUCGGCACGAAUCCAAAUGUUUCCAUAUUCCCAACGUAUCUGGAUGUUAAAAUGUUAUUUAUUAUAUAGUGUUUGUACUUUCAUCGACAUCAUCCUUCACAUCGGCUUUAUCAGCACAGUGAGGCGCGGUCACGCUGAACGCAACAAAUUUUGUACAACGGAGCAGUGUAACUUUUUAUUUGUUUCUUUAACUGUAUUUUAUUUUGAUAAUGUACAGGCUUCAAUAUAGCAAAAUUAUGUUGUGGUGGCGCAUAAGUCGUCGACACGAUGGUCAUGCCAAUGCUGGUUGGUUAUACAGAAGCAAGACAUUAUUCAAAGCUGUCAAGCUAUUGCAAAAUAAUUAAAACCGCAAAGCUUUUGCAAAAUAAAGAAAACUACUCUCUGCUAUUUCGUUUUCCUUUCUGAAAACUUUGGAACGUGUCACAAUGAACUGUAAUUUAGCACAUUUUUUCUUUUGUUUCGUUAAUCUGUCAAUAUGAUUUAAGUGAAAUAUAGUGUAUAUGCCUAUAUUCCUUUUUAUGUAAGCCUA